AGGAAACAAGAUGGCGACUGAGAUUAAGUUGUACACACGAGUUUGAAGAGACUUCCGUCAGACUUGAGGUUAUACGUGGUGUAGCGGUGAAUGUGAAGUCGGACGACUCUCAAAAUAGUUGGCUAACGACCGAAUGUAAAAGGUAUAGAAAUAUUGAAAAGAAGAACAUAGGAACUGUACAUAUACUCCAUACUUUCCUGUAACUACUAAUAACCGGUAUAACGUUCUAUUAAAUCUAAUGGACUACCCAUCAGCUGGAGAAGAUGGCGCAUCUAAAACAGAAGGAAUUACAUCGGUGAAGAAGUUAAAGAAUCAUCGUGAUACAGAAAAUGCACAGACUAGGCAUUAUAUAAAGGAUCGUAUUGGUGUACCAAAAAAAGUGCAUAAUCGAGAUGAGGAAGUGGUCACUCUUCAUAAUUAUUACAGUGCAACAAUAUCUGACUGUCAUGGUGGUGCAGUUUGACUUCCUGACUGAUUUGGAAGGAUUUGCAUUUACACGCCUUAAACAUAAAAUAGACUGUGUCAAGGCAAAUAUUAAUUAUGUUUUUUUUUUCUUUAGGUACUAAUAAGUAAAAUUUAGUUAUGCAUACUUGAUAUGUUCCUUAUAUUUGUUUGUGCUUGAAUAUGUUCCUAUAUGUUGCAAGAGUUAUUUAUGUAAUAAACAAAAUAUUUACCUCA